rnacentral:piRNA from 1 species
UGGUGGUCUGGGAGGAUCACAGGAUGUCA